UACAGAGGGUGCGAGCGUUAAUCGGAUUUACUGGGCGUAAAGGGCGCGUAGGCGGUUUAGAUAGUGUGGUGUGAAAGCCCCGGGCUUAACCUGGGAAGCGCAUUGCAAACGUCUAGACUGGAGUAUGAGAGAGGGUAGCGGAAUUUCCGGUGUAGCGGUGAAAUGCGUAGAUAUCGGAAGGAACGUCAAUGGCGAAGGCAGCUGCCUGGCUCAAUACUGACGCUGAAGCGCGAAAGCGUGGGGAUCAAACAGG
rnacentral:rRNA from 1 species